GAUGAACGCUGGCGGCGUGCCUAAUACAUGCAAGUCGAGCGAACGGACGAGAAGCUUGCUUCUCUGAUGUUAGCGGCGGACGGGUGAGUAACACGUGGAUAACCUACCUAUAAGACUGGGAUAACUUCGGGAAACCGUAGCUAAUACCGGAUAAUAUUUUGAACCGCAUGGUUCAAGAGUGAAAGACGGUCUUGCUGUCACUUAUAGAUGGAUCCGCGCUGCAUUAGCUAGUUGGUAAGGUAACGGCUUACCAAGGCAACGAUGCAUAGCCGACCUGAGAGGGUGAUCGGCCACCCUGGAACUGAGACACGGUCCAGACUCCUACGGGAGGCCGCAGUAGGGAAUCUUCCGCAAUGGGCGAAAGCCUGACGGAGCAACGCCGCGUGAGUGAUGAAGGUCUUCGGAUCGUAAAACUCUGUUAUUAGGGAAGAACAUAUGUGUAAGUAACUGUGCACAUCUUGACGGUACCUAAUCAGAAAGCCACGGCUAACUACGUG
rnacentral:rRNA from 1 species